GUGGCGGUGGGAUCCCGCGGCCGUGUUUUCCUGGUGGCCCGGCCAUGCCUGAGGUUUCUCCCUCAGCCGCCCCUCUGCGGGCUCCCAGAAAUACUAGGCUUUAGAAUUUCACCAUAUGAAUUUUGGGAGAGAGGAGCACAGUUCAGCCCAUAACUAACACACGUGAUGAAGAAGACAUGCCAACAGAGGGUUAAUUCCAGAUAAAAUGAAAUGUUCCAAACAGUACGUUUGGUUAUUUGAUUCAUCUGUGGGGGAAGGAAAGAUAAUUUUCCAAAGGACAUUCCUCCUAAAUUCUGUCUUAAAGUUGUUUACGGAAUGAAGUUGAUAAUAGUGAGACCUUGUUGGUACAAGACUAUGUAACAUAACCUGCGCUUCUCAACAAAGAAUUGCUUUUCUGACUUCUGCACUCAACUACUCAACAUGAAGGCAAUAAGAAUGAAGACCUCUAUGUAUAAUAAUUGACUUCCACUUAAUAAAUAAGGUUACUUGGUACACUGGUCGACAAAACCUUGAAAUGUUGAUGUUUAAGGGCUGUUGAUUGCUGGCAGCAAAGAAGUCCAACUGUGCUGGUACCCGAGAUAGCGUCUCCACAUUUUCUUCCAGGAUCAUCACCUUUGUUCUAAAUAGCUCCCACAUAGUGUGAACAGAAGUCAUAUGUUUUAGAUUUUCUGCCUUGGCACCCAGG
rnacentral:lncRNA from 1 species